rnacentral:rRNA from 1 species
CAGGACGAACGCUGGCGGCGCGCUUAAUACAUGCAAGUCGAACGAGAAGCCAGAGCUUGCUCUGGUGGAAAGUGGCGAACGGGUGAGUAACACGUGAGAAACCUGCCCCAAAGAUUGGGAUAAGCCUUGGAAAUGAGGUCUAAUACCAAAUACCUUCCUUUUAACACAUGUUAAAAAGAGAAAUGCUCCGGCGCUUUGGGAUGGUCUCGCGAUCUAUCAGCUUGUUGGUGAGGUAACGGCUCACCAAGGCAUCGACGGAUAGCUGGUCUGAGAGGAUGUCCAGCCACAUUGGAACUGAGACACGGUCCAAACUCCUACGGGAGGCAGCAGUAGGGAAUCUUGCACAAUGAGGGAAACCUUGAUGCAGCGACGCCGCGUGCGGGACGAAGGCCCUAGGGUUGUAAACCGCUUUCAGUAGGGACGAAAGUGACGGUACCUACAGAAGAAGCCCCGGCCAACUAUGUG